rnacentral:rRNA from 1 species
CACUCCUGCGGGAGGCAGCAGUAGGGAAUCUUCGGCAAUGGGGGCAACCCUGACCGAGCAACGCCGCGUGAGUGAAGAAGGUUUUCGGAUCGUAAAGCUCUGUUGUAAGUCAAGAACGAGUGUGAGAGUGGAAAGUUCACACUGUGACGGUAGCUUACCAGAAAGGGACGGCUAACUACGUGCCAGCAGCCGCGGUAAUACGUAGGUCCCGAGCGUUGUCCGGAUUUAUUGGGCGUAAAGCGAGCGCAGGCGGUUUGAUAAGUCUGAAGUUAAAGGCUGUGGCUCAACCAUAGUUCGCUUUGGAAACUGUCAAACUUGAGUGCAGAAGGGGAGAGUGGAAUUCCAUGUGUAGCGGUGAAAUGCGUAGAUAUAUGGAGGAACACCGGUGGCGAAAGCGGCUCUCUGGUCUGUAACUGACGCUGAGGCUCGAAAGCGUGGGGAGCGAACAGGAUUAGAUACCCCGGUAGUCC